UACGUAGGGUGCAAGCGUUAUUCGGAAUUACUGGGCGUAAAGCGUGCGCAGGCGGUUCGCUAAGACAGAUGUGAAAUCCCCGGGCUUAACCUGGGAACUGCAUUUGUGACUGGCGUGCUAGAGUAUGGCAGAGGGGGGUAGAAUUCCACGUGUAGCAGUGAAAUGCGUAGAGAUGUGGAGGAAUACCGAUGGCGAAGGCAGCCCCCUGGGCCAAUACUGACGCUCAUGCACGAAAGCGUGGGGAGCAAACAGG
rnacentral:rRNA from 1 species